GAAAACACGGAGCAAAAAGCCCGUCCGGAGAGCGGAGAAAAACAUCCUCCUGUAUGAGGACACAGCACACUGCAGGGGCCACAGAACUGUUGGCUGACAAGAUGCUUGUGAUUCAUAAAAUGGGUCAAAUGCAGAUGACAAAGUAAAGCCAACACUGAGCUGGAGGUGCUGACCCAGACUCCUGCCAACGAUUAGGUUUUCACUCUGCAGGACAGAACUUUGAAUCAAUCAGACCUAACACCCAUUCUGCUCUUCCUCCUCCAGAAGACGAGAGACACAUCAGACUGAGUG